rnacentral:lncRNA from 1 species
CUUUGUGUGUUCAUAAGAACAAGCCACCAGAUUUUUUUUUCUUAACUGAUUUUCCAAUGAAUUAUUCCGUUGAAAACUAGAUAAAAGAGUAAUUCUCUCUUCAAUUUCACUAUAAAUUAAUAACUUAAAUGAUUUAAUAGUAAUAGUUACAAAUUACAAUGUUUCACCAAUUAAUUAAAUAUGUAUCUAUUAUUAAUUUAACCAAUUGUAAAAAGUAGAAUUAUCCUUAUCCUUAUCUACACACACACACACACACACACACACUUCCUCUUCAACACUAAUUUUCAGUUGCUCUCUCGCCACCUCCUUCACAGACCACCAUAAUAUCGAAAUAGGCCGAGACGUCGGAAGCAGAAGAAGAACAAUAAGGCAUCAUAAGCUUUAGCUGCUAGAGAUGAUAGCGACACUGCAGUUGAGGAUAGGUGUUUUUUAAAAAACCAGAAACACUUCUUGAUUUCUUUUAAAUCAUAUCUAAAUCCCUCUUCAUCUAUGUAACCCACUAUUGAAAUGGAUAGCUUAGCAGUAAACCGCUUUAUGGAAUUGAAAGAAGAAGAAACCCAUAAGAAAUUGGGAGAUGGAGCAAAAGGGACAGCAUGAACAGGAUGAAAUGACAGUGAAAUACCUGAUAAAGAGUACAUGGAGGCUGAUUUUGAUUCUAAAGCUAGGGCUGAACUCGAUUUUGACUCCAAAGUUAAGGUAUGUUUAUGCGUGUGCAUGUGUUGUGUGUGUGCGUGUUGUUAUGUAUAUGUUUGUAUAAAUAGGUGUGAUAGCAUUUGAUUUUAUUUGGGGGUUUAAAUUGUAGGAAUUGGAAGAUAUGAAGAAGAGAUCGCAGGAGAUUGGGGAAGAAGCAGGGACAAUGCAGGGUAUGUAGACCAAGGUGGAGAAACAGACUGUCAAGGCUCAAGGUCUUUUUAUUACUCACUCUAAGCACUUGUUCCUAUAUAUGUUUGAUGUCAUAUAUAGAUGUAUUUUAAAAAAUUCUUGACUUUGGCCACGUUUGCUUUUUAACUAAAUUGCCCAUGAUGCGUUGAUUUCGUAAUAUUUGUAGAUUCCAGUGGUUUAAGACUUUCAGAUGAAUAGGAAAAAUUCUACUUUUUGUCUCAGUGGCUACAACAUUAGUGAAUAUGGAACUUAUUUAGUAGACACCUCAGAAGAGGCUAUAGAAUAAUAUUUCAGUUGUAAAUUCAUUUUCCUAAUGAAAUUGACUCUUUUGACAGAUUUUGGAUUGUUGAGAAGUUAUAAUUUAAAGCAUCAAUAAAGAUUUUGAUAUAAGGAAAGAUAAUUGUGAGAACCUACAACAGGGGACCAUUCAAGGGGAACUGGAGUACUAAAGUUCCUAAGUUAGCAAUGAUACAUCUUAAAAAGUACUACGUUAUUUAAACGAAGAGCUUUAUGAAUUUAGGAUUUCUUGAGAACUACAUGAAAAGCCACGAUAUGCUCUUGAGGUAGGUGUUAUAAUUGUUACCAAAAGUCAGUAGUGCAUUGAUGAAUAUGCUCUUAAUUGUCAUUGACCUUACUGAGCAAAAUUUUCAAUUUAUUAAGUAACGUUUAAUUUUUUCACUUUCUCAUUUUUAUUUGAAAGUUCUACCAUUCUUUUUAACUGUUUUUGUUUAGGUUUUCCAUGUAUUGCAAAUUGUAGAAAAACACAAUUAUUUUAAAGGAUCGAUUUGUGUCUUCUCUUGACUAUCAAUUAUUUUAUUGUGUUUUACGCUCUUUGACGUUGCACUUUUUCUUCUUUCUUGUCGCUAUAUAUCAUUGAAAUUUGAGAUUGAUAAUUGUUCCUUUGCUGUCUAUGGGGUUCAUUUUACUUUCUUAAUUUUGCAUCAAUUUGCUUUCUGUAAGAAUCCUAUUGUUCUCUAAAAUCUUUAGUUUUAAUCGUUGAUAUCAUUUGUCUAACUGUGGGGUACAUGAAUUUGGGAAUUAUAAUUUGAAUUUAUAGUCGAAGCUAUAAUUUUUUGAUGUUAUUUAAAGCUACGAUCUUCACAAUGAAAAACCCCUAUUUGCAACCUUUGUGUUACUGAUUAUAAUUUUACUUUGGUUAUAAUAUAAUGAUAUACUUCAAGUCAGGCUUUUCAUCUCCUUUUUCUUUUUUUCUCCAACGAUUGCUUAAAUAGGUAGAUCUUUGAAUCUAUACAAUAGGAGAGUCCUUGAUUUUUUUAUUUAUUUUAUUUUUUUUGUAAAGAUAGUCAUAAACAGGAUUUCCUCGUGCUCAAUUAUUGGCAAAUGCACAAGCAGCAAUUCAGAGGAAAAGUAAGGUAAAUUCUUGAAUUUUCUACCGUUUUUCUAGAAAUGCAGGAAGUUGAUGCUAUUGAGCUCUAGAAGAAAGUAAUGUGGAUUGCCUGCUAGAUGUUCGUAAUUUCUUUAUCUCUCUCUCUCUCUCUCUCUCUCUCUUUUUUUUUUUUGAGAUGAGCGUAAGAGAAAGUUUGCUCUUAUUUCAAUAGUUUGUUCUAUAUUUUAAGUGCAU